rnacentral:snRNA from 1 species
GUGGUCCCUUUGGCAGCACACACACUAAAAUUGGAACUACACAGAGAAGAUUAGCAUGGCUCCUGCCUAAGGAUGACAUGCAAAUUCAUGAAGCAUUCCAUAUUUUG